UGUCACUCUGUACUAUUUACUUUUACUUUAUAAACUUUAUUGUUGAAAAACUUUGCAAAUAAAUUAAAGCAUCACACACCAGAGUUAACCAAAUUCAAUUUCUAUAUAACUCAGUGAAUUUCUAUACAGUUGGAAAGUGCAUUUGGUGUAGGGUGGUAGUGGUGCAUGCCUUUAAUCCCAGCACUCAGGAGGUAAAGGUAAAUAGAUCAAGGCCAGCCUGGUCUAUAGAGCAAGUUCCAGGAUAGACAAGACUACAUAGAGAAACCUUGUGUAGAAAAAAUUUUAAAAAACAAUAAGAAAAUAAAAUGCACUCAGAAGGGAAGUUGUGGAGCUUCAGAUUAAAUUUUGUGAUUUCAGUAUUGGAUAUAUUUUAUGCACUUAUCCACAGGGCCCAAGUGGAUGGGUAAGGUUUCAUGAAGGGUGGAAAAGGAAAGGCCCAAGUUUGCCUUGUAAUGCCUGCCUGCCACCUGGCACUCAUGAGCCUUGUCCCUUUCUCACAAACAGUUGAUGGUGGUGGCUUGUGAAAGGCUUGGUCAAUGUUCAGUAAUGGGGGUGGGACCUGCCAUUGCUGCCUGUAUUCUAUUCUACUUAAGGCCAAUUCUACUUAGCUAAUAAGCACCUAGUGAUGGACAGGUGCAUUAUCCUGUAUACUUCACUUAACCAGCAAAUGAAAAAUGAAGACAAAACAUUGCCUCAUUUUGUUCUUUAAGACAGGAUCUCACUGUGUAUUCUGGACACUUUGAUUCUCCUGCCUCUAAUUCCUGAGUAUUAUAAUUACAAGUAUAUGCCGUGUGUGUGUGUGUGUGUGUGUGUGUGUGUGUGUGUGUGUGUGUGUGUGUGUAUUUCUAGAGAUGGAACCCAGGGCCUUGGGCAAGCACUCCUACACUGAGCUACUUCCCCACCCAAUAUCUAGCUUUUAUUGAGCACAUAUCAUGUGCCAGGCACAGAUUGUAGCAUUUACAGGAAACUUCCUAACCUCAAGAUAGCCCAUCCCAUGAAUAAGAUACUUUCGCAUUUUGCAGAAAGGAACUUGGGGGAAUAAAAAGUUGCUGGCCACAUAAACUACUGCCUAUAUUGUAAAGCUUUAUUAAACACUAGUCAUUUUAUUUUCUUCUGCAUAGUGACACCAUCUAGAUGGUACAAGGUUCUGCCAUCAGCAAAGGGUUUGGGGCUGGGCCAUUGCAAAACAGCAUUGCCCAAGAGUAGAGUAAAGGAGUCCUGAGGACUCUGAUUCUGUCUCAAUCUUUGGCAAAACUCCUACUUUUAUCCCAGAUGCCUGUGGCUAGAGCAGAGUACAGGCAGCAAACGCAGGUCCCAUCCCCAUUGCUCAAGAGUAAUCCAUCCUAUGCACCCAUCUGAGAGUGAGAUAAGACUCAGGAGUGGCAGGUAGGUAGGCAUUACAAUGCAGACUCUGAGCACCAGCCUUUCACUCAGUGUGAAAUCUUGGUCAUCAUUCACCUGGGCCAUCUGAUAUGUGCCCAUCAGUGUCAUCUGUACAAAGACAGCAUCCAAGCAGCAUUCUGGACCCAACUGGCCUCUAUGCAUGCCCGUGGUGGACUCAGAUACACAUAGUCUUCUGUCCUUGUUUCCUAUAGCUAGAGACCAAAAUUCAUAUCCUUUCCAUUCUCCUAUAUCCUAACCUAGACCUUGCAGAUCCUGGGGCCUUCAAAAUCUACCAAGCAGAGAAAGGCUGGCCACGCCUGCUAGACUGAUGGCCCAGGUGAAGCUAUCCACGCCCACUUGAGGGCUGGCACAAGUGACGCUGACCAUGCACAUUUGGACGUGGUCAGAGUGACGUAGCAAGACUUUAAAUAUGAGGGUCCACGCAUGCAGCUCUCUCUGUUCCCUGACCCACCUGGUUGUACAGGACGGACUCCGUGGCGUGCUGACCCACAAUCUACACAUUGGACCUCAAACUCUGCUCCCAAGAGGAUACUAUAGGGGGAGCGUCUUCCUGCUAGAAGUGAGCAUAGCACUUCUACAGUCUUAACCUGUCCAACCCAGGAGAAGACUGCACCUCCAAACAGACCAGCCCUGAGACAUCCAGAAAAGCCCCAGGUGGGACACAACCUUAGUCCCACUAAGCACAUUCAGAGAGGCUGCACAUCCCCAGGACAGGACAACACAGGCUGUGAGGCUCAGUCAGUGACCACAAGCCACACACAUUCCCUGUUUCCUAUGGGAAGUAGUCAAGGCAGCAUUGUGCACCCACCAGGAC
ensembl:lncRNA